GUUCCAGCAGCGGUGUCGUAGUUAGGUGGCUAGCGUGGUCGGGGAUAUUUAUUUUGGGUUAGAUGGGCGCUGGCGGUUUUAACCUCUGAUCGUGAUAGGCCUUCUCUCUACGGGGUUGGGGUUCCAGGAGUAUGGGUACCUUUAGUGCAGAGGGGGUGAGUGGAUUUACAGUCAGUAGCGGUGAAAUUGGGAGAGAUGUGGCGGAAGUCUAGCUGCGAAAGGUGUCUGUAUGGUCUGUUACGAGUGUGAGUCCAGUCUGCUUGGGGACCGACCAGUUUUACAUUUCCCGGUGGUCCUCGCCGUAUGAGCUGAGUGCUAAGUGUUAGAGGGUAUGAACCCGCUUGUGCUGCCGCUAACGCCUAAAACACUCGGCCUGGGGAGUACGGUAGCUAGACUGAAAGUCAAUGGCAUGUAGGGGGCCCCGCACUAGCGGUUGAGCAUGUCAAGAUUUCGCACAACCGAAGGACCUUGCCAGGUCUUGACAUCAUAGGACAACGAUCCGAAUAGGUUUCUCCUUCGGGGGGCGGGUUCCGUGUGGUGCAUUCCAUUGUGGAAGAUUCCCUAGAGAUCCGGGUUAAGUCCCGCAACGAGCUCAACCUCCCUGUUAGCCCCAGCAUUCAGUUGGGCACUUUAAGGUGAUUGCCUUUGACAAACGGGAGGAAGGUGGGGAUGAAGUCAAAUCAUCAUCCCCCUUAUAACCUGGGCUACACACCUCCUUCAAUGGGCAGACCAAAGGGCAGCGAAGCCGUGAGGGUAAACCAAUCCCACACAUCAUUAUCAGUUUGGAUCGCACUGGCAACUCGAGUGUGGAAGCGGAAUCGUUGGUUCUCGAGGAUCAGCAUUCCCGCGCCCCCC
rnacentral:rRNA from 1 species